rnacentral:rRNA from 1 species
GGUUAAGCGACUAAGCGUACACGGUGGAUGCCCUGGCAGUCAGAGGCGAUGAAGGACGUGCUAAUCUGCGAUAAGCGUCGGUAAGGUGAUAUGAACCGUUAUAACCGGCGAUUUCCGAAUGGGGAAACCCAGUGUGAUUCGUCACACUAUCAUUGCGUGAAUACAUAGCGUAAUGAAGCGAACCGGGGAACUGAAACAUCUAAGUACCCCGAGGAAAAGAAAUCAACCGAGAUUCCCCCAGUAGCGGCGAGCGAACGGGGAGCAGCCCAGAGUCUGAAUCAGCUUGUGUGUUAGUGGAACGGUCUGGAAAGUCCGACGGUACAGGGUGAUAGUCCCGUACACCAAAAUGCACAGGUUGUGAACUCGAAGAGUAGGGCGGGACACGUGGUAUCCUGUCUGAAUAUGGGGGGACCAUCCUCCAAGGCUAAAUACUCCUGACUGACCGAUAGUGAACCAGUACCGUGAGGGAAAGGCGAAAAGAACCCCGGCGAGGGGAGUGAAAAAGAACCUGAAACCGUGUACGUACAAGCAGUGGGAGCCUCUUUAUGGGGUGACUGCGUACCUUUUGUAUAAUGGGUCAGCGACUUAUAUUCUGUAGCAAGGUUAACCGUAUAGGGGAGCCGAAGGGAAACCGAGUCUUAACUGGGCGUUAAGUUGCAGGGUAUAGACCCGAAACCCGGUGAUCUAGCCAUGGGCAGGUUGAAGGUUGGGUAACACUAACUGGAGGACCGAACCGACUAAUGUUGAAAAAUUAGCGGAUGACUUGUGGCUGGGGGUGAAAGGCCAAUCAAACCGGGAGAUAGCUGGUUCUCCCCGAAAGCUAUUUAGGUAGCGCCUCGUGAAUUCAUCUUCGGGGGUAGCACUGUUUCGGCUAGGGGGUCAUCCCGACUUACCAACCCGAUGCAAACUGCGAAUACCGAAGAAUGUUAUCACGGGAGACACACGGCGGGUGCUAACGUCCGUCGUGAAGAGGGAAACAACCCAGACCGCCAGCUAAGGUCCCAAAGUCAUGGUUAAGUGGGAAACGAUGUGGGAAGGCACAGACAGCCAGGAUGUUGGCUUAGAAGCAGCCAUCAUUUAAAGAAAGCGUAAUAGCUCACUGGUCGAGUCGGCCUGCGCGGAAGAUGUAACGGGGCUAAACCAUGCACCGAAGCUGCGGCAGCGACACUAUGUGUUGUUGGGUAGGGGAGCGUUCUGUAAGCCGUUGAAGGUGUAUCGUGAGGUAUGCUGGAGGUAUCAGAAGUGCGAAUGCUGACAUAAGUAACGAUAAUGCGGGUGAAAAACCCGCACGCCGGAAGACCAAGGGUUCCUGUCCAACGUUAAUCGGGGCAGGGUGAGUCGACCCCUAAGGCGAGGCCGAAAGGCGUAGUCGAUGGGAAACAGGUUAAUAUUCCUGUACUUGGUGUUACUGCGAAGGGGGGACGGAGAAGGCUAUGUUAGCCGGGCGACGGUUGUCCCGGUUUAAGCAUGUAGGCGGAGGUUCCAGGUAAAUCCGGUACCUUUUAACGCUGAGGUGUGAUGACGAGGCACUACGGUGCUGAAGUAACAAAUGCCCUGCUUCCAGGAAAAGCCUCUAAGCAUCAGGUAACACGAAAUCGUACCCCAAACCGACACAGGUGGUCAGGUAGAGAAUACCAAGGCGCUUGAGAGAACUCGGGUGAAGGAACUAGGCAAAAUGGUGCCGUAACUUCGGGAGAAGGCACGCUGAUAUGUAGGUGAAGUGAUUUACUCAUGGAGCUGAAAUCAGUCGAAGAUACCAGCUGGCUGCAACUGUUUAUUAAAAACACAGCACUGUGCAAACACGAAAGUGGACGUAUAUACGGUGUGACGCCUGCCCGGUGCCGGAAGGUUAAUUGAUGGGGUUAUCCGUAAGGAGAAGCUCUUGAUCGAAGCCCCGGUAAACGGCGGCCGUAACUAUAACGGUCCUAAGGUAGCGAAAUUCCUUGUCGGGUAAGUUCCGACCUGCACGAAUGGCGUAAUGAUGGCCAGGCUGUCUCCACCCGAGACUCAGUGAAAUUGAACUCGCUGUGAAGAUGCAGUGUACCCGCGGCAAGACGGAAAGACCCCGUGAACCUUUACUAUAGCUUGACACUGAACACUGGUCCUUGAUGUGUAGGAUAGGUGGGAGGCUUUGAAGUGUGGACGCCAGUCUGCAUGGAGAUCCUUGAAAUACCACCCUUUAAUGGCUGGUGUUCUAACGUGGACCCGUUACCCGGGUUGCGGACAGUGUCUGGUGGGUAGUUUGACUGGGGCGGUCUCCUCCUAAAGAGUAACGGAGGAGCACGAAGGUUAGCUAAUCCUGGUCGGACAUCAGGAGGUUAGUGCAAAGGCAUAAGCUAGCUUGACUGCGAGAGUGACGGCUCGAGCAGGUGCGAAAGCAGGUCUUAGUGAUCCGGUGGUUCUGAAUGGAAGGGCCAUCGCUCAACGGAUAAAAGGUACUCCGGGGAUAACAGGCUGAUACCGCCCAAGAGUUCAUAUCGACGGCGGUGUUUGGCACCUCGAUGUCGGCUCAUCACAUCCUGGGGCUGAAGUAGGUCCCAAGGGUAUGGCUGUUCGCCAUUUAAAGUGGUACGCGAGCUGGGUUUAGAACGUCGUGAGACAGUUCGGUCCCUAUCUGCCGUGGGCGCUGGAGAAUUGAGGGGGCUGCUCCUAGUACGAGAGGACCGGAGUGGACGCAUCACUGGUGUUCGGGUUGUCAUGCCAAUGGCAUUGCCCGGUAGCUAAAUGCGGAAGAGAUAAGUGCUGAAAGCAUCUAAGCACGAAACUUGCCCCGAGAUGAGUUCUCCCUGAGACUUUAAGUCUCCUGAAGGAACGUUGAAGACGACGACGUUGAUAGGUCGGGUGUGUAAGUGUAGCGAUACAUUGAGCUAACCGAUACUAAUGAACCGUGAGGCUUAACCUU